rnacentral:misc_RNA from 1 species
AUUAGGCCAUCUGGCAGGGGUCC